UACAGAGGUCCCAAGCGUUGUUCGGAUUCACUGGGCGUAAAGGGUGCGUAGGCGGUCAGGUAAGUCUGAUGUGAAAUCUCUGGGCUUAACCCAGGAAUGGCAUUGGAUACUAUUUGGCUUGAGAGUUGGAGGGGGGACUGGAAUUCUUGGUGUAGCAGUGAAAUGCGUAGAUAUCAAGAGGAACACCAGUGGCGAAGGCGAGUCCCUGGACAACUUCUGACGCUGAGGCACGAAAGCUAGGGGAGCAAACAGG
rnacentral:rRNA from 1 species